rnacentral:rRNA from 1 species
AUGGCCCGCGGAGACGAUCUCCACACCAUCAAAUAUCUCCCACUCAAACUUAAAGGACCAGCCCGGCACUGGCUUAACAGCUUGCCAGCAGAGUCAAUCGGGAGUUGGGAGGACCUGGAAGCCGCAUUCCUCGAUAACUUCCAAGGCACGUACGUGCGACCACCAGAUGCAGAUGACCUAAGCCACAUAAUUCAGCAGCCAGAUGAAUCGGCCAGACAAUUCUGGACACGGUUCUUAACCAAGAAAAACCAAAUCGUUGACUGUCCGAAUGCCGAGGCCCUGGGACAGGAAAAGCCGAAAUACAUGGCAGCCCUUACAUCACUCAUGACCCGCUUCUGUGCGGGUGAGGACAAAUAUCAAGGACCGUAG